rnacentral:misc_RNA from 1 species
AGGAAGUAAAAGUCGUAACAAGGUCUCCGUAGGUGAACCUGCGGAGGGAUCAUUACAAGAACGCCCGGGCUUCGGCCUGGUUAUUCAUAACCCUUUGUUGUCCGACUCUGUUGCCUCCGGGGCGACCCUGCCUUCGGGCGGGGGCUCCGGGUGGACACUUCAAACUCUUGCGUAACUUUGCAGUCUGAGUAAACUUAAUUAAUAAAUUAAAACUUUUAACAACGGAUCUCUUGGUUCUGGCAUCGAUGAAGAACGCAGCGAAAUGCGAUAAGUAAUGUGAAUUGCAGAAUUCAGUGAAUCAUCGAAUCUUUGAACGCACAUUGCGCCCCCUGGUAUUCCGGGGGGCAUGCCUGUUCGAGCGUCAUUUCACCACUCAAGCCUCGCUUGGUAUUGGGCAACGCGGUCCGCCGCGUGCCUCAAAUCGUCCGGCUGGGUCUUCUGUCCCCUAAGCGUUGUGGAAACUAUUCGCUAAAGGGUGUUCGGGAGGCUACGCCGUAAAAC